GACCGCAAUAUAUUAUUGCUACUGGUUGACAUAAAGAGGGCAGUGAAAUCUCUUGAUCAACGACUGCAAGUAAUGGAACGUUUCAUCGAAAGAAUUUCCCAGGAGAAAGGAAUUGCAAAGCCAAACUUUCCCGAACUCCCAAUUCAGACAUGCAGUGAGCUACUUGAUCUUGAAACGUCACUGUCAGAUGAGCAAGCCAAUGUAUACCUGAUUGGAAAGCUCUCUCGUCUGGGCGGAAACUCGCUGACUGAAAGUGCUCGAGUCCUGGUGAAAAAUCUUAUACAGAGCAGCGUUGCGUUUCAAUACAGCUUAAGGGGGCCACAACAGAAAAAAAAAAGACUUUCCCGCAUUGCGAGUCUACUCCUGCAUUACUGAGGUACUACUGAAACACACAACAUCGUGGAAAGAAUUGGGAGGUACUUAGCCGGCGCACCUGACCGGGAGGGAGGACGAGAAGCCCGCAAAAGAAAGACACAAGCCAAACCAGCAGCGA